rnacentral:lncRNA from 1 species
AGUUUCUAUGGUUCAGAAAUCUAGGCAUUGAAGAUCUUGUUUCUCUGGCUCAAUACCUCUCAUAAGAUUGUAGUCAAGUUGUCAGCUGGGGCUGCAAUCAUUUCAAGGCUCAAGUGUGAAAGAAUCCACUUCUAAAUUUACCCAAGUGCCUUUUGGCAGGAUUGAGUUCCUCACAGGUUGUUAGACGAGGGCACUCAGGUUCUCAGUGCCUGUUGGGUGGAGGUUGUCCUCAGUCCCUUGCCACAUGGGACUCUCCAUAGGGCAGCUUACAAUGUGACAACUGGCUUUAUUAUACAAGAGCAGAAAAGAACCAGACAAAGAGGGUAACAGAUAUUUGGAAGUAAGUGAUCUGAAGAUGCAGGCCCUGUGGUAAUUUCUCUCUCCCAAAAUAGUAGGAGGUGCAGCAAGACUCAGUUCUCCAAAGCACCAGCAGAAAUGCACAUUUUAUAUGUAGAGGGAGGAUUGGAGGCAGUGGAGCCCUCAGCCGCAGCAACAUUCUGCAGAAUGGAGUUGGCUGUUAUGCCUGAUAGUGUAGCUCUUUAUCAGGUUGUUCAUCUAUACCAACGACAUAAACUCACCAAACAUGUUUUUAAAAAUUCCCUCCUGCUUAAAUUAUCCAGAUUAAGAUUCUGUUGCCUGCAGCUAAGUGUCUGGAUGGAUGCAUGUAUUUUCUUCACUCAUGAUCUAUGUUUUAUUUUCAAUAAGCAAGAAUUUUAACAUAAUUGUUGAAAAUUAAACUCUAGUGAGAUGGGAUGUGUGACUACCCCAUAGGUCACACAAAUUUUGGUUUCUAACACACAGCAGUAGCUUCCCUUUUGGAAACUUAUGUACAAUGAAUCAAUCAAUACAGAAUGUUUGGUAGU